GGGAAAAAUGGCUUGAAAAUGACAUUGCACCAAUGCCCAAAUGUGUGAAUUGCAUGAUUGCCCUACAAGGGAAUGCGAAAAUUUUGUCUUAGCAACAGUGGCCUUAUUAAGUUCACCCUUGUCCAAGCAAAAUAUACGCAUUUUUUUUCCCUGUUUUCCCCCCUUUUUCCAUCCUAUUCUCUCACUUACAUGAGCCACACCCACUUCUCCAAAUGGGGUGGCUGCAAUCCUUUCUCUCUCCAUUGAAGAAGCUGUGGUUUCGUAUGCAUUCAAAUCCUAAAAAGAGUAUGUUUUUGUUCACAUUCACUGCUAUAUGUAGCUGCAUUUUCAGUUUGUGUAUCUUCUUUGUGGUGCUAAUUUCUGCUUGUUUUUACUCUUUGCUCACAGUUUAAUUUAUCAUUCUUAAUAUCCUUUUUUUCUUUCCCUUCUCUCCUUCUUGGGUUCUUUGCUUUUAUUGAAGAAUGAAUCCAAAAUCAUCCCAGCAAUCACCAAAUUUUGCUUCAUUUUCAUUACCAAUCUCCAUUAUCUCUCUUAUUUUUCUUCUGUAAUUUCACAUUGGCACUUACAUAUUCUAAUUGCUUGAAAUAAAUUAAGACAAAACGUAGGCAACUUCCAUUUCUUUCUAUUCCGAUUGCACUUAACAAAUCAUUCAUCUAUGACCAAUCUGCUUUCCAAGUUUUUGGUUGAAUGAAUUGUAUUGUCUCUCAAUUCUCAAAAAGAUUUCCUUAGUUUUCCUGCAAUGUCACAAUUUUGUUAACAGAAACUUGUUUAAAAUUUCUCAGGAAGAGGGAUAUACAUUCUAUAUGAGGAUGUGAAAUCUUGUCCCUAUGAAGAUGUUCAUGUCCUAUGGUCAAUACUGGUGGAAUCCAAUGCACCUUCCAUGCCAUCAAAACAAUGAAGGCCUAUACUCAGUACAGAAUUUACUAAAAUUAAUGGGAAAUUUCCAGUCAACGUCAUGUACAUAAAAUAUUUAUGAUGUUUAAUAUACUCUGGUGAAAAGGCCUUUUUGUUUUCUAUUUUUGCCUUCUAAGUUUCUUGUCAUCUCAGUUACAAACUAUACUAGAACAUCACUUUCCUUGUUUCAUUUUUAUUUCCUGUUUUAAACUUUUGCUUGGCCCUAACUACUCUAAUUCUGUCUUUAUUCCAAAAUCCUUUACGUGCUUAAUACUUAAUUAAGG
rnacentral:misc_RNA from 1 species